GUAGGGAGCAAGCGUUAUCCGGAUUUAUUGGGUGUAAAGGGUGCGUAGACGGGAAAGCAAGUUAGUUGUGAAAUCCCUCGGCUUAACCGAGGAACUGCAACUAAAACUACUUUUCUUGAGUGCUGGAGAGGAAAGUGGAAUUCCUAGUGUAGCGGUGAAAUGCGUAGAUAUUAGGAGGAACACCAGUGGCGAAGGCGGCUUUCUGGACGACAACUGACGCUGAGGCGCGAAAGUGUGGGGAGC
rnacentral:rRNA from 1 species